CUAUGUUAAUGAUUCCAUUUUGUUUGAAAAACCAGCUUACAAAGGAAGAUGUAUGUAAUAAGAUCCUUUAUUGUUUUGGAAGGGCGAUUCGCCACCAUGGUUUCAGGGCCGAGAAGGAAAUCCUUGUAACACAGCCAAGUCAGAUGAUAUUUUUUGAGAAAGUUAUUGGUUGAGAGACAACCUGAUGUGUAUGCUUUUGUGCUGGGCAGGGGCUGGGGAACAAUAGGUUGAGGAGGGAAGAAAGAAAAAUCGAGGAAAGAAGGGGAAAAGAAGAGGAAAAAUUAAACCGAAAGAAAAUUGAGUUUAGGGUUCUUGCGCACGUAUGUCGGUGUCGGUGUUUUUUAAAAACAUGGACUCGCCCAUAGCCAAGAACUUUAGGGUGAUGUCAUCAGGGAGUGUUGUCGCGGUAACCUGCUCCGAGCCUUCGCUUUCACUGCGCUUCACCAUGCUUACUAGCGAAUUAGCCGAACUAACCGUGCUAUCUACGCUUGAAAACAAUGAUAAAAUAUUUCGAUGAUGGAAAGGCUGAGCAUUGCAGAAUGUGAAUUUGGAGACUGUGUCCUGGCUCAGUGCUGCCCCCUCUGUCCUGGAGGUCUUUGUGCAGUCUCUUUCAUACACAAACCAGCUGAAGACCCUACUCAGGCACCACAGAAGUCUUGGACAGUUGGAAAUGAAUACAACACUAACCUCCAUAGAGGAGUGCAAACUAUCCUCCAUGUCUUGCCCUCCAUCUCAAAGAGUGGUGGAUACUACCAAGUGGACAAUCACCAACGGCCAAUCAGUAUCCAUACUCAAUCAGUGCAUGAACUUUUCAGGUGACACCAUAAAGUCUGAAUAUGUGACAGACAGUUCAGAUUACGCAGAGAUAAGCAACAUACAAACUGACAUGAAGGAGGAGGAAGAUACGGAGAGGCGGAGUGUUAAAAUUGAGGGAGACGAUGGUGUGAGAGAUGAAGAGGGACUCUGGAAGAAGGAAGAAAAAGAGAGGGAUGAACAGAGGGAUGGACAUAUAACUUACCAAGUUGGCCAAACUGACAAAUUGCAGAUGAACGGAUUAAAAUCAGAACACGGACAUCAGGACAGGGAGGAGCUGUCUACUCUGGUCACUUCUUGUCUACUAAAACAACCUCGAGUGCUGAUUCACCGGGUAGAAAUAGCCACUUGUUCAGUUUCUGUGUCAUCACUUCUUCCUCCCGUGGCCUCUGAAAGAGGUCAAGGAGUGAUGUGUCCAUGGAGAUGCCAUAAGAUCACAUCACGGAGAGGAAAUGGAUCACUGACACAGAAGGGUCAGGUUGUGACCCGGAAGAGAAAGACCCAGUUGAAGAAACCAGUUACAUCAGAGAAUGGGAUCUGUGCUGAAGCCUCCCUUAUUUCUCCUGCCAUCUCCCCCAGGACCAAAAACACAGG